rnacentral:rRNA from 1 species
AUUGAACGCUGGCGGCAGGCCUAACACAUGCAAGUCGAACGAGUGGCGGACGGGUGAGUAAUGUCUGGGAAACUGCCUGCUGGAGGGGGAUAACUACUGGAAACGGUAGCUAAUAACGCAUACCAUCGGAUGUGCCCAGAUGGGAUUAGCUAGUAGGUGGGGUAAAGGCUCACCUAGGCGACGAUCCCUGGCUGGUCUUAGGUGAUGCACAGCCAACCUGUGACUGAGACACGGUCCAGACUCCUACGGGCGGCAGCCGUGGGGAAUCUUGCACAAUGGUCUCAAGCCUGAUGCCGCCAUGCCGCGUGUAUGAAGAAGGCCUUCGGGUUUUAAAGUACUUUCAGCGGGGCGGCGUUACCCGCAGAAGAAGCACCGGCUAACUCCGUGCCAGCAGCCGCGGUAAUUC